rnacentral:lncRNA from 1 species
AUGACAGGCUGCAGGAGGAGGGGGAGGAUGGCAGGGACCCUCUAUCCAAGCAGGGCCCUACCGUGCCCUCAGGGAAGGCCUGGGGCGCAGGGCCCCAAGCAGGUUCCCCCACCACAGCCCACCCUCCAGACCUUGCAGGCCGUUCCCCCCCACCCCGUUCUCCACUCUUCUGAGCUGCUGAGAGCUAACCUCAAGUCUUGGGGCGCAAGGAAAAGUGAAGGACUCAACGCCCCUCCCGGCCCCCCCACCCCCGCCCCGGAAGCAGGCAAUCUGCGGGCCCCAACACUAGUGCCAGUGAGUCACCCACACUCUAGCUGUCAUCCCUGCGGUGCCAGGAACCUCCCAGUCCAGGUCCCUCGGGCUAAGGGUGGCGGGAGGAGCUCCAACCGCCCCGCGGGCGGGGCCAAAGGCGCGCAGGCCCCCCCAGCCCCCACACCUGUCUGCGCCACACCUGCCGCCUGCCCGCUGUCAUUCCCCCGUGUGGCCCCUCGGCCUCCAGGGCAAGGCCACCCGCCCAAGUCCAGCCUCGCGCCCACUGAGCCCCACCCUCGCGGAGUUCCCGCGCUUUCGGCAGCGCUCGACCAAGGUCCUGCGGGGAAGGGGCUCCCGGGCGCAGGACCCCGUGCCCAGACCCCUGCCCCGGGGUUCUCGGGACUGUCCCCGACAGCAAGGGCCCGGCCUCGCCCCCGCUCUGCUUUGUCCUUUGAGGACCCCCCCACGCCCGCCCCCGUGCUGCCCCCCCACCGCCCCCUGAUCGAUCCCCACCUGGCAGGGCCCCCGCCCCCCCCCCGUGCAGCCCGCCCCCUCCCCGUCAUCCCAACCCGGCAGGGGGUCCCAGGUGCUGCCCCCUCCCCGCCUCCCUCCCCAUCCCCACCCGGCGGGGCCCCGCGUGCUGCCCCCUCCCUCCUCCCCGCCCGGCAGGUACCCCCCUCCCCGCCCCCUCCUCCACCCCCACUGUGCUGCCCCCCUCCCCACCCCCCUCCGCGAUCCCCACCGGGCAGGGCCCUUCCCCCGUACUACCCCGCCCCCUCCCCCCCAUCCCCACCCAGCAGGUUCCCCCCCCCCGCGUGCUGCCCCCCUCCCCUCCCCUCCCUCGUCCCCUAUCCUUACCCCGCAGGUCCCACCCCCCGCUGCUGCCCCCUCCCCUCCCCGCCCCCCUCCCCACAGGUCCCCCCGUGCUGCCCCUCCCCUCCCGCUCCUCCCCGCCCCGCCCCCUCCCCUCCCGCUCCUCCCCGCCCCGCCCCUCCCCUCCCCCUCCCCCUCCCCACCCGGCAGGUCCCCCCUCCCCUCACCCCCCCCCCCCCGGCCGGGCCCCCGCGCUGCGCUCCCGCCGCCCAGGUUGGGGCGGCCGCGCUGGUUAGGUAG